rnacentral:piRNA from 1 species
UGGAACUGCUUGGAUGUUACUAUGGAACCU